GGGGUUGUGGCUCAACAGUAGAGCACUCACCUAGCAUGUGCGAGGCCCUGGGUUCAAUUCUCAGCACCA
rnacentral:tRNA from 1 species